rnacentral:pre_miRNA from 1 species
UCUUACAAAUGAGCAAAGAAAGUGGCUUCUUAAGAUGGAAUCUACUCCUGAUAAAGAUGCUAUGAA